rnacentral:rRNA from 1 species
GAUGAACGCUGACAGAAGGCUUAACACAUCAGCAAUGGAUUGGUGGCGGACGGGUAAGUAACGCGUAAAGAAGUGGACUCACCGCUAGGGAAAACAUUAAGAAAUGAAUGCUAAUACCUGAUCCUGUGAGAGAGUUUUGCGUCCCAUUAGCUAGUGGGAGAGGUACCAGCUCACCCAGGCGAUGAUGGGUAGCCGGCCUGAGAGGGUGAACCGGCACAAGGGGACUGGGACACGGCCCUUACUCAUACGGGAGGCAGCAGUGCGGAAUAUUGGACAAUGGACCGAAGUCUGAUGAAGCCCUUCGGUUUGUAAGAUGAAGUUUUCGGAAUGUAAAGUGCUUUCAGUUGGGAAGCGGUACCCACAGAAGAAGUGACGGCGAAAUACGUGCCAGCAGCCGCGGUAAUUC